CCAGUUCUAAAAGCAUGUUUCUAAGGAAUCAAUAUUAAGUUUCUAAGGAGGAAUUGCUGGAAAUAUAGUAGAGUUAACAAGCUGAAGGGUCGACAUUUUGUUCAAAAUCAUUUCGGGGUUCAUUUUGUUCAAAAUCAUUCGGGUUUAUUUCGAGGUCUAUUCGGGUUUAUUCUGGGUUGUUUCAAGGUUUCUUUGUGUUCGUUUCAAGUUUUGUUAAAAAAUUGUAAUCAUCCGUUGGAGGAUGCGCUAGAAACACUUUACAAGGCUAACUUUUGGUCGUUAUUAUACUCCUUGGGGAUAAGGAAACUAAGGUACAUCAAC